UGGGGAAUAUUGGUCAAUGGGCGAAAGCCUGAUCCAGCCAUGCCGCGUGUGUGAAGAAGGUCUUCGGAUUGUAAAGCACUUUAAGUUGGGAGGAAGGGCAUUAACCUAAUACGUUAGUGUUUUGACGUUACCGACAGAAUAAGCACCGGCUAACUCUGUGCCAGCAGCCGCGGUAAUACAGAGGGUGCAAGCGUUAAUCGGAAUUACUGGGCGUAAAGCGCGCGUAGGUGGUUUGUUAAGUUGGAUGUGAAAUCCCCGGGCUCAACCUGGGAACUGCAUUCAAAACUGACUGACUAGAGUAUGGUAGAGGGUGGUGGAAUUUCCUGUGUAGCGGUGAAAUGCGUAGAUAUAGGAAGGAACACCAGUGGCGAAGGCGACCACCUGGACUAAUACUGACACUGAGGUGCGAAAGCGUGGGGAGCAAACA
rnacentral:rRNA from 1 species